CACGUAGGGGGCAAGCGUUGUCCGGAUUUAUUGGGCGUAAAGAGCUCGUAGGCGGCUCAGUAAGUCAGGUGUGAAACCUCCAGGCUCAACCUGGAGACGCCACCUGAUACUGCUGUGGCUAGAGUCCGGUAGGGGAGCGUGGAAUUCCUGGUGUAGCGGUGAAAUGCGCAGAUAUCAGGAGGAACACCAGCGGCGAAGGCGGCGCUCUGGGCCGGAACUGACGCUGAGGAGCGAAAGCGUGGGGAGCAAACAGG
rnacentral:rRNA from 1 species